ACACCUCCCACAGCCCUCACUCCCAAUUUUCCAGGACAGGUGGGGCCGGGGUCAUCCCCCGCUCCAUCCUGGCUGAGGAGGUGACUGACAAACUUGUGUGCUCCCAUCCGCGAUGCUCAGCGCUGAAGGGGCUGCAAUCUGGCAGCCCCUUGGAGCAUAAUUACCUAAAAGUUUGUCAAAACCAGAGGAUUCCACUGGAAUUUUACUUAAAUCUGAUAAAGUAGAAGCUGAAAUGUGAGCUAUUGAUAUCUGUUGAAGGCCAACCCAUGAGAAAAUGUCCGCUAAAGGACUCCUUCUAACCCUAAAAUGACCCUAAAUGGUGCUGUAGAUUAAUUUUUUUCAUGGUACAUGUGUCUGAGUCCUAAAUGUCUGCUCAAAGGAUAAUAAAUACAGUUGUUCAAAAAUGUAACUAAUUGGUCAUUCCAGUGCAGUUACUGCCAUACUUGUGUUUGUUUUUCUAUUUGUAUUAGGGUAGCAAGAAAAAACAUCCCUUUAUUAUUGCUCAUUUAUCAUUAGCACACACUGAGAUAGCUUUAAUCAAGUAGGUUAGUGGAUAUUUAAGCCAGACAAUCCCUGUGUUUAGGACUUUUUAGUUUUAUUCUAAAUGGCUUCAUGGACUGUGUGUAAACCGCUGUUCACUGCAGUGUGGGCAGCUACAGGUCCCUCAAUGGGCCAUUGUGGCCAACUGACCGAAGCCCAGGAGGACAGGAAGGGGAAAUUUGAGUUAAAUAUUAAUCACUAUUACAGAACUGGUUCUGCUCAGUCUCUGUGCUGGGAGAACAGCGAGAGGGUCAGAUCUUGGUGCCAUGAAGUAUAACUCUACAUUAUGUCUAUCCUUUUAAAGCCUGGAGUGGUCUUUUAAAGUAAGAGCUGGUGUUGUAAAUUAAAAUCAUCUCCUGCUGUACUGAUCCCCAUCCAUGAGCAAUCAAAAUUUCAAAAACAGCCCAUAGAGAUACAAAUUUUCUAAAUUGUGUUAACAAAUUUGAUCUUAAAAUGUUACAUAUGGAUUCACCUCAAGUCAGCAGAAUUUGUUUAAUAUAUAUUAAUAUAUUUAAUAUUUGUUUGUUGGGGUUUUUUUCCCCUUAACUAUACUUCUUUACAGCUCUGGGCAGUUCUCUAAAUUAUGGGAGUCAUGGAGCCAAUAUAUUUCCCUGUCCCAUAGAAUCAGUUUCAAUUUCAUUAUACCGUGCAGAAGCUUUAGGAGAACAAGUACUACAAGGGAAUACACAAAAGCAAACAAAACUGCUUUAUUUCUUAUAAAUUUUAAAAGCUGUGUGUGUUACUUUCUAAAAAAAGUCAAAAUGCAUUUUUUGGGGGGAUUUCCAGGAGUCUCCCUAACAUUUUUGAAGACUUGGUGGCUCCACCCCAAGAGAUGUAGUCUCAGAGUGGAAUGCAAAAGUGUGCCCUUUCCUGAAACAGAGUUCACAUUGAAAAUUGUUCCACAGGUUAUUUCUUUCCCUUUGUAGUCAAAUCAGUGCAAGUUCACUGUGGAUGCACCAAGCUGCCAGAUGCUGGUCUGAUUCAUCCCCUGCAAUAUCCAGCAUCUGAUAUAAUGCCUAUUGUAAUUCCCACAUUUCAUGUGUUGUUUCUGAUGGCCCAGCACAGCCCCACAGCCUUGUGCUGGCAGAGAGGUCUUCACAUGAGGUUCAUUUAUUUAUUUCUAAUCUACAUAGUUCAAGUGAACUACAUGAAAUAUCCCCCUUCACCUCCCGUCUGGAAGGUGCUGUAACUCUCCUGAAAAUCCUCCUUUCCCUGCUCAGCUCCCAGGCGAUCAGAUCCAUGUCUCCAUACCUGCAUCAUCGCAUUUGGAUGCUGCUGCUGCAGCAGUUUCUCUCAUCUUACCUGUUCUGUCUGUUCCCUCUGGUCACGCCAACGUUUAUUUUUACACUAGUUCCCACACAGAAGCAAGUGUACUACUGACUGCCUUCUCUCCCCUUUUCAGAUUCCAGGUGGAAAAGCACACUGGAACUCCACCCAAUUUAAUUUACUCAUGAGUAUCUUUUUGCCCUAUUUGACUUGGACAUCCUCACCCCUUCCUUUUCCCUAGGAAAACCACUCGUAAGUCUCUGCCUUAAAAACAAGUCUUGCACACCUGGACCCCACUGCCUAAAGCUGUUCCUCAACCCUCUCUCAGACCCCUUAGAAAGAUUUUCUGAGGUUUUUUCCCCAUUUACAUGAACAGUUCAGGUUUUGCUUGCAUUAUUGGAUUUUUCUCCAUGACAUAAUCCCAUUAUGAGGAAUAUAUAGAUUAAACAUGACAAAGAAAAAUGCUCAAGUUCUCUAAACUCAUUUGAAUUAUAGAAGCAGCUACUGCCUCCCUGGCCCUGAUGACCUCCCAGUCUCAUUCUGUGCAUGACAAGUAGGUACUUGGGUCUAGAUUCCCAAAUUAAACUGUGCAUGGAAUUGGGCUACGCUCUGUGGCACCCUACGCUUUGUGGCACCCCCAUGCAAGUCAUCAGCUGGCUGUGAUUUAAAACUCCAAUCUAAAAGAUGGAAAAAUUUCAGCCCUGUCCCUGUGUCUGUUACAACCUGCUAAAUUAUAAUGCAACUGAAAUGUAAUUACUUUUCAUCCUGCACAGAGAACACAAAACAUGAAUUCACUAGUUUACAGUAAACCACAAUAAAUUUAAUUAAAGUGGCCUCAUCUAAAACACAUACAAGUACAAUAAAGUUAUUUUAUUUUGGUUCUCAGAAUAAUUCCUCCACAAUAAGUUAGUCUUUUUUUUUUUUUUCUUUUAUUAUCCUGAAUUAAACCCUUUAACUGAAAGAAAAAAAAAUUGACUAAAACAAGUUUGAGGGUGUUGUAAUAGCAUCUGGAUCAACUCAAAAUUUUAAUUUUUUUUAAAAAAUUAAAAACAUACCAUUAGCUGAAGCAUUCACCUCAUGCAUUCACUAUUGGCUCUCUUUUUGCCUGGUUUGUCCCCAGCCAAGUGGCAUUUUUUUGUCCAAUAUUUAAUAAUAAAGAGGCAGAGAAAUAACCCAGGAAACAACUUGCAUCACACCCCUCCUCCCAAACCCCCCUAAUUUUCACUGGUCCUUUGGUAAAAGAUACAACAAGUUUUAGGAAAAGGGAGCUUUUCAGUUCACUGAAAAUCUAUUUAGCAAAGCCCUGUUGGGGUGUUGGGAUAGGAAAAGUGAGUACUGAUGCCAAAGUGCCUGCAGGGAAAAUAUUUUGUCACUCACACACCAAUAUCUCCCGGACUCCAUUAGAACAAUAUUUAUAAAGGCAGCUGCUGCUCCUAAUGAUACCUUGAAAGUCCAUGGUUUUAAGGAGACAAAUCAGCUGGGAGUUUGACAUUUCACAGCUUUUGCUGCAAACUGUCUCUUUGCAAGAUUCUGCAGGGUUAGAAAGUGAUUUUUCCUUCUUGUGCUCAGCCGCUCCUGUGGAGGCUCAGCCUUUCCACAGGCAGCAUAUUGUGGCUCCUGUCAGCCCAGUUUAGGCAAGUACAGGAACUCCAGUGCAACUCAGGAACUCUAGUUCUCUGCAUUGCCAGAUUUGUUCAUUCCUGGAGCAUUUCCCAGAAAUCUGUGCUGGACAGAUGUAGUUCAAAUUCAGGUCAGCUACUUUUUUAGCUGGGAUUACUGUUGAUUUAGUGCACACAUUUCUUCUCUGGAAAGGAUCUCAGAUACCAUGAUCCAAACAGCACUAAAUUGCCAGCACCCAAUUCUACCAGCUGAUUUCCCACUGGAGUUCAGGUUUCUCCAUGGCCCAGCCCUGGCUCUGUAGAAGCAUUGCCAUUUAUUAGGAAAUAAUUUGUGCAUCAACUGCAAAAUAAACACAGAGGCUGUUUGGGUUUCCUUUCCAUUAAGCAGGCCAGAAUGACUCCAAAAACUCUCCAUGCUUUGGGAUAUUUCUGAGUUCAUUAGAAAGUUAAAUAAAAUUUAAUAUUCUCUAUUAAAAUUAUUCCUAUAGUGCAUUAUACAAGCUUUCUAAUUUUUCCAGAAGAUUUGUCUCCAGUACUGGGAAAGGAUUUGACACAGCAGCCUUUGAGAGCCUUUUUCAAGAUGUGAUGAGAUGACAGUCAGCUUUCCCCCACCUUUGUCAGGAAAGAAAGGAUCUUCAGAGAUCUUUUUCCUGGUUCUGCAUACAUUUGAUAGAUUAAUAAAAGAGGCAACAUAAAAAUAUGUUCAGUGAUAACUUAUGGUAGAUGUUUAGACAACAGCCACAUUUUCUUUAAAAAAAUUGUAUUUUAAGAUUUUAUUUUGUACAUGUACUAACGCUAUACUCUGUUUAUCUUGGCUUUUUAGAGAACAGCUAAAAGUAAGUCUCAUAGCUGGGAAAACUCUGUAUCCUUUUUCAGCAUGUAUAAGGCUAAAAAUACUUAUCUGUCAGAUGGGCAGUCUUCCUCCUUCUGCAUAAGUUAAAAAUUAGAAGUCUGACUUUCUCAUGGAUAUAGGAGCUGGCAGAGAGUUUCUAAGCUACCAAGUCAUCUCCAUCACAGAUACCUCAGUGUAUAACCUGAGCAGACUUUCCCUGAUAAGAAACUGAUACUUUCUUUCUUUCUUUCUUGCAGUUUUGAACAGGAGACUAAACACAUCAUUGAAGACAAGUUGGUUCUUUUUUCUGAAGUCUGUUUCUACUUAUUUAAUCCAUUUUAAGUAGGCCUUCCCAGUUGACAAGGAGCUGGCAAAUGGGUCUGUCGUCCAGCUGUAUUUUCAGUGGCUUUUCUACCAAAGGUGUGGGGCUCAGCUUAUUUAAGUUGGAAAGGUUUGGUUGCCUUUAUACAUGAAUGACUGAUUCUGCCAUCUUUAGAGGUUAAAUGUCACUUUAGUCUUCACAGGUAGACUGGAAGAGAUAAAGGAGUCAAGAUGCCAUUGCAGGAAGGUAUGUCUCACCAAGCAAGAGGAUGAGAGUUCACUAAAUAUUUUCUGCAAAGCAGCCUCUCCUUCCUCUCUCCCCACUGUGUCUUCACUGUGCCUUUACAUGUAGACCUCUAGACCCUCAGUCUUUUGAAUUCUCUGUCAGGUUCAAUGUUUGUGUUCAAUUCCUUGGAGAAGCAUCAGGCAUUGCUCUGCCUUGAGAUCCUGCCAGUGCUCAAAGCCUUAGGUCCAUCUGGAGAGAGAAAAUGAGCAGCAUAAAUUCCCAGCUUGUGUAUUAGCUAAAAAAGUUGUUAAUCUCUACUAUUUCUGCAUUUGGGAUCCUCAGACUGAGUGUGGGCUCAUUAGUCUGUUGAAUUAUAUAUCAGAAGUAAUUUCUUUUCCUGGGAAGUGAAUCCUACAUAUGUGCAACUCUAUUCCAAAAUGGAUUCCUCAUGUCUCAGACAUUGCUGUUGCCGUAGAUAGUCUUCAGAAAAACAAAUUGUAUAAUUAAAUUCACCAUUGGUUUUGCCCCCCAUCUAGAAAUGAGAGGAGAUCAUAGAUUUAGCACAUUUUCUGAAUGCUGAGAUUCAUAUGCAGAAUGUUGAAGGUUCAGCAGCUUUCUUGAGCAGCCACUCUCUUGUGCUGUCCUUAAGCAUCCUGGCUUGAUGCAUUUUUCAUUUUCCAAUGCAAUUGCACCUUUCUGUGCUGGUGCUUCAGCAAAUCCAUUAUAUCUCCAAAUCUAACACAAGGGUUAUUUUUAAGUUUUCAGUUACAGGAAUAUUAAUACUAGGCUUGUUUCCUUAACAGUCUGUCACAUGCUGUAGACAAGGAUUGUGAUGUUUGAGAUGAACACAGCACAAACUGCUGUGCAGAUCUGCCCACCUCAGUAGAAGCCAGAUGAAUGGCACUGUUUCAGGCAUGAACCAGAGCAGUGGGAAAAUGGCCAUCAAGAGUUAAGGGUUUAUUGGUAUAAUGAAGGGUAGAUUUUCUCCCUUCCCUUCCAAUCCCUUUCAAAGAAGUCUCUGAGCAGAAACAGAAAAGCUUGCUGUCCACCACCAUUUACUGUGUCAUUUCUUUUCAGAGAUUUCUGUGCUGCUUUUCCUCAUGUCUGCAGUUAUUCCAUUUAUCCCUGUUUUUAUGGUAUGACCCCAUUUGUAAUGCAUCUGUUCUUAGUUAUUCUCCAUUUUUCACUCUUCUAAACUUCACUGUAUUCUCCUAGAAAUUGCCUUUUUGUUUUUAAGCUCCUGUCUGCCUCUCAAGGCUUCUGUAUUUUUUGUUACCCUCUUUCUAUGGAGCAUCUUUGUUCUCACUGUGUAUCUUAAGCCCAGUUUCUUCAGCAGUUUCCUUCAUCUCACUGCUGCUGGACUUCCUACAUCUUGUCUCCAGUGUGUUGUCAUUUUAAGUCAUAGAUAGAAGGCUGAGCCACAAGGCUGCAGGAACUGUGGGCUUCCACACAGAAGUGCUGCAGCAAAAUACAUACGUCCAAUUCCAGACCAGGCUGGCAACCUUCUGAUAUAUUUAGGGGUCUGGAGAAAUACUAUGUCCCAGAGGCACUUAAAUAGCUGGAUGUUGUAUGAAGUUUGAGUUGGCUAAUAAUGGUUUUGUAUUGCUUUCUGCCCCUUACACAGCCUUGGUGACAGGUAGAGGUCUUGUCUGAAGGGCAGGAUGGCUCCAGAUGAGUUGGGGCAGUUAGUUGGGUAUCAUUUGUGCAAGUGUGCUCUAUAUUUUUCCUAGAAGCACUGCUUAGUAUUUCUUAUAUUGCUGAAUUGUGUUCAGCAGUAAUAAUAUUGGAGUAUGAUUAUGAUACUCCAAUAAUAGUAAGCAAUAGGGAGUUCUUUACUUAAUCCCACCACAUUCUUAAGUUAUCUAACUUCAGUUUGCAUUCUACUCCUAAAACUCAGACUGACUCAACUUUACCUCUGCAAGCUCUACCUUGCACAUAACUGUCACACAGAACUAGUAUGAAUGACGUAAUCCCCCAUUUAAAUCUUCAAUCAAGUUUAGCUGUAAAGGAUUACAAUUCACUGGCUAAACUAAUUUUACACUUUAAUUUCAGGAGUUCAAGAGAAUGGUGGGAAUCUUCAAAGAUUUUGUCACUUCUCUGAACUCAUUCUUCAGGAUCUCAAUGUACCAGUUUGCUGAAGUUGCUGCUCCCAGAGACUCUAAUGGUACCAGAUGUAUUCCUUGUUAACUUCUGUUUGCUCCUUUUAUAAUGAAUUUAACAUUACUCUUUAAGAGCACACUUUUGCAAUCAUAAAUAUGCACUUUACUGUUUGUACAAUCAUGGUCUUGGAAGUGAUAAGGGACAGAGAUGUUCGCUUGAAACAUUUCUUAUAGAAUAAACAUUGGCAGCCAAAGGUGAAGAUGAGCUUCUCUGUGCUUCAUUAGUAAGAUGUCCUGGAAAAGGGCACUAAGAGCUCCAGAACUUGUGAAAAAUAGUAUUCUUGGAAGUAAAUGUAAGAUGUCAUCUACCUGAUGGGUUUAACAGCAGGAGAGGCAUCCUAGGGAGUGCUGCAGCCUUGAAGCAUUGAUGCAAACUGGUGGUGUUGUCACAGGCAACAGAUGAGUACCAGUGCUCACCAGGAAUGGACCUGUGCACUGAAUUAAACAUGGCCAUUGUGAGUGUCACCAUGCCUGUAGUGACCUGCUGCUCCUCUAUGAAUAGCAGACAUGAAAACAGCCAUCCCCAAAGCCUUUCCAUGCUGAAAGCCUUUGGGUUUUUUCCAACUGAUUGAAUUCCCUUUACAUCUCGCUGGACGUUCUUUUCUCAAUCUCUCUCCCUGCCACCCUGCAGUCAUAUGAAUUUAGGUGCGUGUAGAGCUCAUGAUCAUCACCAAGGAAGGACCAAGAUCUGGGAGAUUAAGCCUUUUUUUCUGGGGGUUUUUUGUCCUGGGAGGACUGGUCUCUAUGAAGGGAAAUGUGUUAUUCCUCAAACUUUGAUUUCUCACUUGCUUUUUAGGUAGUGAAUUGAGCACUGAUGGCAUUGCUCUUUAAAAGGAAUAUCCUGUGUUGCAGCCUUGCUGCAGGACUUCAGCUCUUACACCCUGGUGUAUAUACAGUGCAGGACUAGGAGCAGGUGAGAAUGCAGUGGAGGUUGUACCUCAGACUUAGUUGAGAGACUUACCCAAGGGUCACCAGAUUUAAGGUUUUUCAGAAAGACAAGGAUAACACUAAUGGAGUCAGUGCUGUGAACAUAAAUUCUCACCAAGCACUACAUACAUAUUAAAAGUAAAUUCAUUUAUGUAGCGCUUUAACUACUGUAUAAAUUCAACCUCGAAUGAAAGCCCCGUGUCGGGGGUUAGGUGUCCUUCCUUUUGCUCCUUCUCACCUAUAGAAUUUUUCCCCAUUAGUUGCAGGGAACUCUGACUGCUGGGUGCUUGAGAACAGUUUGGCUGAGCUCAGGGAGAAGGGGGUCAGGUAAAAGGG